rnacentral:lncRNA from 1 species
UCUAAAUUGGCUGCAGCGUUGCGGUCCGGACAGAGCAAAAAAAACAAGGCAUCAGUAUUGUUGAGUAUUAGCUUGUGCCUGGUCCGGGGGCUGAGUUUGCGGGAGUAGGCAGAGGACGCAGCGGUGGUCGCCCUGCUCCGCACCGGGCCCGGGAGUUUCGAGCGACACAAAGGCGGGAGCUGUCCGCGGUUCUGAACCGGCGCGGCGCGGCCAAGGGCUCCUCUCUUCUCUCCUCCUUCUGUGUGACCCCUGACUUUCUAGGCUUUUAUUUCUCUCUCUUUUUGGGGGAGAGCCGCCUCAGAACGUGUGUCAGAUAGGGAGCUGCGUCUCAGAGCUGCGGAGAGUCUGUAAACCCACUUGGGUGGCCCCGGAAUAGUUGGAGAAGGGAGGUGAGGGCCGUCUUCUAGGACCAGGGGCAGAGAGCUCCACUUCCAAUACCGGACGGGGCUGGGGCAGCCUGGCCUCACAGGGAGCUCACCACCGUGGUUUCCCCCAGGCCCUCUGGUGGCUGUCACCCCAUGGGGGACCUUCCUUCACAUGACAAUAAAAGUGGUCUGCAAAGAUGCAUCUCCAUUCAGUGUCUCCUGCUCUCCAGCCCUGG